UACGUAGGGUGCAAGCGUUAAUCGGAAUUACUGGGCGUAAAGCGUGCGCAGGCGGUUUUGUAAGUCCGGUGUGAAAUCCCCGGGCUUAACCUGGGAACUGCAUUUGUGACUGCAUAGCUAGAGUACGGUAGAGGGGGAUGGAAUUCCGCGUGUAGCAGUGAAAUGCGUAGAUAUGCGGAGGAACACCGAUGGCGAAGGCAAUCCCCUGGACCUGUACUGACGCUCAUGCACGAAAGCGUGGGGAGCAAACAGG
rnacentral:rRNA from 1 species